rnacentral:misc_RNA from 1 species
CUAUCCCUGAUCCGAUUGCAUCCACGUGCAGUCGGUCGACAUGGGCCUUCAGCACUGAUCGCCUCGAAUUGCUCGCGAUCGUCGUGGUAGACAGUGGCAGCGAUGCCGUCCGUGUUGUCGACGAUCAACCCGUGC